rnacentral:rRNA from 1 species
UACGUAAAAGACUAGUGUUAGGUCAUCUUUAUUAGGUUUAAAGGGUACCUAGACGGUAAAUUAAAACCCCUAAAGGGUACUUUUUUACUAGAGUUUUAUAAGAGAAAGGGAGAAUUUUUAGAGUAGAAAGUAAAAUUCUUUGAUACUAAAAGGACUGAUAAGGGGCGAAGGCUGCUUUCUGAUGUAAAAACCUGACGUUGAGGGACGAAAGGCUUUGGGGUAGGCAAUCAAGGG